CUACUCUGGUGGUAAGAAGACGGCUUACCUGCACCUGAUAAUUCUUUCUUUGUUUAUAACCUUGCGACAUACCACAGAGCUGGUUUACUCUUGUGCUACCAAAGCUCGCAGUCAAUUGGAUAAGGGAGACCCUGGAGGCUCACUGGUCUGUCAAGUGUACACUUCGCGACAAGACAAAUCGUGAUCUUCAUCGUGAUCUUCAAUGGAACUUAAUGAUAAAAGCAACAAGAAGAACAGAGGUCGAUCCUCCUUGGUGUUGGCGGUCUGGAAUUCAUCGCUGAGCCUGAACCGCCAUUCCUCUUCCAGCUCCAACCUGCCGACCGUCUGCCGCAAGGAACUGCGAUCUGCACUGAUCACACACAGAGUUGCACCUACAAGCAAAGAUAUCCACCUCCAUUAGCCUGAUAAGCAUCCGAGCCAGAAUACCCAGG